rnacentral:lncRNA from 1 species
ACACACCUUUCGAAGGUGUUGUAAAUUGUUCUUGAAAAGUUCAAAACAGUUGGUUCUUCUACUUGAAUGCAUGAUUCCGUAUUAGUAACUAUGUUUUACAAUCGUUGUAAAAGUGUGGCUAAUAAGAAGUAGAAGAUUAAUGAGAGAAGAGAAAGGUGCUUCACAUUCGAAGCGUGAAUCAAAUGUAGAUCUCUGCGAAAGCAGAUGGUACUUACUUCCUCAUAUGAACUACCAAAGAAAUUGGAAAAACCAUAGAUUGUCUUUACAUUCCAAUUUUAAGGAAC